rnacentral:rRNA from 1 species
AGUGAACGCUGGCGGCAGGCCUAACACAUGCAAGUCGAGCGGCAGCGCGGGGGCAACCCUGGCGGCGAGCGGCGGACGGGUGAGGAAUGCAUCGGAAUCUACCUCGUUGUGGGGGAUAACCUCGGGAAACCGGGACUAAUACCGCAUACGACCUACGGGUGAAAGUGGGGGACCUUCGGGCCUCACGCGAUGAGAUGAGCCGAUGCCGGAUUAGCUAGUUGGCGGGGUAAAGGCCCACCAAGGCGACGAUCCGUAGCUGGUCUGAGAGGAUGAUCAGCCACACUGGAACUGAGACACGGUCCAGACUCUUACGGGAGGCAGCAGUGGGGAAUAUUGGACAAUGGGCGCAAGCCUGAUCCAGCCAUGCCGCGUGUGUGAAGAAGGCCUUCGGGCUGUAAAGCACUUUUGUUGGGGAAGAAACCGGGCCGGAUUAAUACUUCGGCUGAAUGACGGUACCCAAAGAAUAAGCACCGGCUAACUUCGUGCCAGCAGCCGCGGUAAG